AUUGAACGCUGGCGGCAGGCUUAACACAUGCAAGUCGAACGAUGAAGAUAUAGCUUGCUAUAUCGGAUUAGUGGCGGACGGGUGAGUAACACUUAGGAAUCUACCUUUUAGCGGGGGAUAGCUCGGGGAAACUCGAAUUAAUACCGCAUAAUUUCUACGGAAUAAAGAGGGCUUUUAGCUCUCACUAGAAGAUGAGCCUAAGUAAGAUUAGCUAGUUGGUGGGGUAAAAGCCUACCAAGGCGACGAUCUUUAGCUGGUCUGAGAGGAUGAUCAGCCACACUGGGACUGAGACACGGCCCAGACUCCUACGGGAGGCAGCAGUGGGGAAUAUUGGACAAUGGGGGCAACCCUGAUCCAGCCAUGCCGCGUGUGUGAAGAAGGCCUUUUGGUUGUAAAGCACUUUAAGCAGUGAAGAAGACCUAUUGGUUAACACCCAAUAGCGAUGACAUUAACUGCAGAAUAAGCACCGGCUAACUCUGUGCCAGCAGCCGCGGUAAUACAGAGGGUGCAAGCGUUAAUCGGAAUUACUGGGCGUAAAGCGAGCGUAGGUGGUUAAAUAAGUCAGAUGUGAAAGCCCUGGGCUCAACCUAGGAACGGCAUCUGAAACUAUUUAACUAGAGUAGGUGAGAGGGAAGUAGAAUUUCAGGUGUAGCGGUGAAAUGCGUAGAGAUCUGGAGGAAUACCGAUGGCGAAGGCAGCUUCCUGGCAUCAUACUGACACUGAGGCUCGAAAGCGUGGGUAGCAAACAGG
rnacentral:rRNA from 1 species